GCCGCGCGCUCCCUCAGCCUCGGCUGUGCCCCAGCUCCGGCCGGGCCUCUCCGGGCGCUGCCAGCGCGGGCGCUUGGUGUGCACGCCUGCAGUGAGUGCACGCCUGCAUGUUGCAGGAGACAGUUUGUCCUGACUGAAUUCCCAAUGACCUGAAAAGACUGACCAAGUCCAGGCAUUUGAACCAAUUUUUAACUUCAAAUGAUGAGUGCUCAGCUACCUGACAGAUUCCAGUUUGGAAAAAUCCAUCUUUCCAGGAGUGAUGGAGCAGAUGUGUCUACUUUAGCAAUGGGCAGCCUAGAAGAUGGACAUUUGACAGGCGACAAUAGACUGCUCCUUUCCCAGCCCCUUUCUGAAACCUUUUAAUACUGAGAGAAGCCCUGCUCAACUUGGAAAGCUCUGAAGAAUUCUGUGGAAGGCUGGGAAGAUUACACAAACCGAACAACUUCUUGUGAUGUCUCUUAAGGAUUCUAUGGAAGAAGGCUUCUGACAGUUCCUCUGGACUGCCAUUUAACAGCUCCAGCAACCAGUGUAGAAUUUGUGUCCCAAGAAGAGAUUUCUGCCAAACGGUGAAGCUCUUGGAAGCUGUGGUUUUGACCUUGCUUUGUCUCUCAGCCUAAGGAGAGAGCUGAACUUGGGAGAAAUGCUCUGAUCACCAGGGUAAGGUACAAAAAGCAGGUCAGUACUUGUCUUUGGUUUUAAUAACAUAAAUAUCCAUCAUUAAUUUCCACACAGAAUCAGUCUCCUAGGUACACACUUCACAUGCUCUGAGCACAGCUACUAUUUCAGAUUUCUCAAAAGGCUUAAGUGAGAUGCACCCAGGUUCUUGCUGUGAACAAGAGGAAGUGGACAUGUGAGGGCCUUAUGCUGCUGCUGAAAGGGGGCUGCUGCUGAGCAUUAGUGAACAUGUGUAGAAAGAGGUGUUUAAGUAGUGAGAAUUUUAACUGGUAAUAUCUCUGGCCUAUAGGACUGGGUUCCAGCUUUGAAGGGUUUGACAAGCAUGAUAUUGACACUACUACAAAUAUACAUGCUAAGCAUAUGUCUGUGAUAGUUAUUCUCAGACAUUUGAAGUCCCAUUAGCCAUUUUUUCUUGUUUGCAUCAUAUAUCUAUGGGAUGUUUGGUAUUUGGUGUAAACAAAAGUUGAUAGCAAAGGAUUUCUAUUUCAUGAACAUAAAGGUAAGAUUUAUCCCAAGUUUCCUUGUGGGGCAAGGCAUUUCCUGCUGUGAAUCAUGUGACAGCCUUGUCUCCUAGGCAAGCAGCCACCUAUAAAUAGUAAAGGAAGGAGGUACAGAAGGACUCAGAAGCAAAGAAUAGCAAAUGGCUACAUUUAUGGUGAGAGUGUGUAAUUAUCUUCCAGUGCAAAUUUCUGCAGAAGUGUGGAAAGGUGUGGUACAGUGAGAGUCAGACUGAACUUCAUACCCUGAGCUGUGGCACAGUUUGCAAUAGUGAGGUACAUGGCUGGUGAUCAAGUUAAAGUAUUCACUAUUCCUAAAAAUAUUGUGGGUCCAGGGUUGAAGGUGACUGUAGCAUUGAUCCCAGAGCAGGCAAGACUGGACUGAAUUAUUCAAAGCUACAAAGGGAAUUUGUGGCCAGA